rnacentral:rRNA from 1 species
UGGUGGAGUGAUUUGUCUGGUUUAUUCCGUUAACGAACGAGACCUCAACCUACUAAAUAGUGUGACGAACUCUUUUGUUCGGACAGUACUUCUUAGAGGGACUAUCGGUGUGUAGCCGAUGGAGGUUUGAGGCAAUAACA